rnacentral:lncRNA from 1 species
UCCUACCUACCUCUCAAGAUUGUUAUGGGGACCAAAUAAAAUAUAUCUGAAAGUGAUUUGAAACACACAAGGUCAUGGUUAUCAUUACUUACAAAGGGAGGCAGUGCUGACUUAGUGCUGACAAUCUGUCUUGACUUUCUUCUUAGAGCAUAAGCUCCUGGUCGAGAAAAGAUUAUAGAUUUAGAGCCCCAACAAACCUUAGCUACCAUAGAGCCUGUGAGGACUAGAGAGGCUGUGACUUGUCUAGGGUCAUGCAGUUCAUAAGUGGAAGAGCUAGGAUUUGAACCCAGAUCGUCUGAUUCCAAGCCUGCCCACUCCCAUGGAUCACACUGGCUUCUGUAUCUAUAUGUUUAUACAAGAAUCAGAAGUGUAGAAUCCAGCAGUUAAAAAAUCACAGGGCUGUAGAAUUUUUGAGCUGAAAGGAACCUUUGGAGAUCAUCUAAUCUCAUAUCCUCUUUUUAGAGUAAAGUAACAUGCUUGAUGUCAGACAGCUCACUCAUGACAGUGCCAGGCCUAGAUCCUGAAUCUUCUGACACCUAGCCACUCCAGUGUGCUUUCCAGCACACCAUAAUGGUUAUUGAAUGGAGCCAACCUGAUGGUAACAGAGGGAGAAAACACAGAAGUGGGCAAGGUAAUAAUAUGCUGUCUGCCCAAUAGGUAGAGAGGCUCAAUAAACACUUGCUGGCAGGCCAGACAGCAGCCUCCUUGCCCUGACCAGAGAAGCAGCAGCAUUGCCACAAGGAGUCUCGGUGGUCCCAGCCUUCUUGCCUCGCACUGAACAAGCUCUAAGGGGCAUUUUUUCAAGCAUGGUUUUGGCAGCAGUACCUGGGCCUGAAGGGGAGAUUUGAGGGGGAUGCACCUGUUGCUUAUGUUUCUCCUCUAACUCCCCAGCCUCCCCUUUGGAUUUUUCCAGAGCUUUACCAUCCUGCAAGAUUGACAGCUCACUCUUAGUUGGGAACAGAAGAAACAACAAAAAGCCCAUACUUGUCUGUAUCCAGUGCUUGAGAUCAAGUCAAUUCAACUAGCAUUUAUUAAGCACCUACUCUGUGCCAGCCACUGUAGUAAGUGCUUGGGUUGCAAGAAAGACAAAGACAAUCCCUGAUGUCAAGGAACUGAAAAUGUCAUGGGGAAGACAACUUGCCAGACCAUGUUUCUGAACU